rnacentral:lncRNA from 1 species
CCGGAGAGAGAGAGGGCCUGACGAGCGGGACCCGCUCGUCAGUGACCGCUCAGAGAGAGAGGGGCAGCGCGCGCAGCGCGGUUGUGGGCCGAGCGCACAUGGGCCGGCCUGCAGGCCGAUUUCCCGGCCACUCGCUGCACAGUACUGUUUUUUUCUUUUUCUUUUUGUGCAGUUUUUGAGUUAUGUUUGAUUUUGUGUAUUAAUUCGUGUGCUAAUCCAAAAAUCAUGGAAAUUUUUGUGUAAGCUCUCUGAAGUGAGUAGAACCCAAGAAAAAUAUUAAGUUCUGUUUUCUGGUAGUUUACAUGUCUGUAAAAAUUUGCCCUUUUAAUUAGCAAAUAAAACUUGUAUGAAUUUUAGUAAUUUAUCAGUGUGUCCAAAAAUCACCAAAAAUUGUGGGGAGCCUCUGAAUAUUAUUCCCUGGCUCCACACAAAAUUUGGUGGCAUUUGGAUAAGGUUUGGUUAAAAUGUUAAUAAACCCUUAUUUAGUAUUUAAUUAAUCAUUCCAAAAUAAGUAAAUAGUGAUUAACUAAAUCCUCAUAAUUAGAGUUGAGUGAUUUUGGGAUUGUGUGAUGACCUGAGGUCAUUAACCCUAAUGACCUUUGGCAUUUAAUUAUUAUUUAGCCUUAAUGCUUAAUUACUGUCAUUAGUAAUUAAUUAAGAAUUAAUUAAGGUAAAUAGGUUUAAUAAUUACUUAAUGUAAGAUAAUUAUGAAUUAAGUAAAGUC